UGGGGAAUAUUGGACAAUGGGGGCAACCCUGAUCCAGCAAUGCCGCGUGUGUGAUGAAGGCCCUAGGGUUGUAAAGCACUUUCACUGGUGAAGAUGAUGACGGUAACCAGAGAAGAAGCCCCGGCUAACUUCGUGCCAGCAGCCGCGGUAAUACGAAGGGGGCGAGCGUUGUUCGGAAUUACUGGGCGUAAAGGGCGCGUAGGCGGCUCUUUAAGUUAGGCGUGAAAGCCCCGGGCUCAACCUGGGAACUGCGCUUAAGACUGGAGAGCUAGAAAACGGAAGAGGGUAGUGGAAUUCCCAGUGUAGAGGUGAAAUUCGUAGAUAUUAGGAAGAACACCAGUGGCGAAAGCGGCUACCUGGUCCGGAUUUGACGCUGAGGCGCGAAAGCGUGGGGAGCAAACAGGAUUAGAUACCCUGGUAGUCCACGCCGUAAACGAUGUCUGCUAGAUGUCGGGGGGUUGCCCCUCGGUGUCGCCGCUAACGCAUUAAGCAGACCGCCUGGGAAGUACGGUCGCAAGAUUA
rnacentral:rRNA from 1 species